rnacentral:rRNA from 1 species
GGGAUUGCCCCAGUAACGGCGAGUGAAGCGGCAACAGCUCAAAUUUGAAAUCUGGCCCCCCCCGGGGGGGCCCGAGUUGUAAUUUGCAGAGGAUGCUUUGGGCGAGGCGCCUUCCGAGUUCCCUGGAACGGGACGCCACAGAGGGUGAGAGCCCCGUCUGGUCGGACGCCGAGCCUCUGUAAAGCUCCUUCGACGAGUCGAGUAGUUUGGGAAUGCUGCUCAAAAUGGGAGGUAUAUGUCUUCUAAAGCUAAAUACCGGCCAGAGACCGAUAGCGCACAAGUAGAGUGAUCGAAAGAUGAAAAGCACCUUGAAAAGGGGGUUAAACAGUACGUGAAAUUGUUGAAAGGGAAGCGCUCGUGACCAGACUUGGGGCGGGCGGAUCAGCCGGCGUUCUCGCCGGCGCACUCCGCCCGUCCCAGGCCAGCAUCAGUUCGCGCCGGGGGACAAAGGCGGCGGGAACGUGGCUCCCCAGGGAGUGUUAUAGCCCGCCGCGCCAUGCCCCGGGGGCGGACUGAGGGCCGCGCAUCACUGCAAGGAUGCUGGCGUAAUGGUCACCAGCGACCCGUCUUGAAACACGGGCCAAGGAGUCGUCCUCGUAUGCGAGUGUUCGGGUGUCAAACCCCUACGCGGAAUGAAAGUGAACGUGGGUGAGAGCUUCGGCGCAUCAUCGACCGAUCCUGAUGUUCUCGGAUGGAUUUGAGUAGGAGCAUACGGGGCCGGACCCGAAAGAAGGUGAACUAUGCCUGUGUAGGGUGAAGCCAGAGGAAACUCUGGUGGAGGCUCGCAGCGGUUCUGACGUGCAAAUCGAUCGUCAAACAUGGGCAUGGGGGCGAAAGACUAAUCGAA